AUUGAACGCUGGCGGCAUGCCUUACACAUGCAAGUCGAACGCCCCGCAAGGGGAGUGGCAGACGGGUGAGUAACACGUGGGAACAUGCCCUUCGGUACGGAAUAACUCAGGGAAACUUGUGCUAAUACCGUAUACGUCCGAGAGGAGAAAGAUUUAUCGCCGAAGGAUUGGCCCGCGUCUGAUUAGCUAGUUGGUGAGGUAAUGGCUCACCAAGGCGACGAUCAGUAGCUGGUCUGAGAGGAUGAUCAGCCACAUUGGGACUGAGACACGGCCCAAACUCCUACGGGAGGCAGCAGUGGGGAAUAUUGGACAAUGGGCGCAAGCCUGAUCCAGCCAUGCCGCGUGAGUGAUGAAGGCCUUAGGGUUGUAAAGCUCUUUUACCCGGGAAGAUAAUGACUGUACCGGGAGAAUAAGCCCCGGCUAAACUUCGUGCCAGCAGCCGCGGUAAGAGUACUCUAU
rnacentral:rRNA from 1 species